rnacentral:rRNA from 1 species
UGAGGAAUAUUGGUCAAUGGGCGGAAGCCUGAACCAGCCAAGUCGCGUGAGGGAAGACGGUCCUACGGAUUGUAAACCUCUUUUGUCGGGGAGCAAAGAGGCCACGCGUGGCAAGAUGAGCGUACCCGAAGAAAAAGCAUCGGCUAAUUCCGUGCCAGCAGCCGCGGUAAUACGGAAGAUGCGAGCGUUAUCCGGAUUUAUUGGGUUUAAAGGGAGCGUAGGCGGGCUGUUAAGUCAGCGGCAAAUGUCAGGGCCCAACCUUGGCAUGCCGUUGAUACUGGCGGCCUUGAGUUCACACAAGGAAGGUGGAAUUCGUCGUGUAGCGGUGAAAUGCUUAGAUAUGACGAAGAACUCCGAUUGCGAAGGCAGCCUUCUGGGGUGUU